GCGGGCGUGGUGGAAUUGGUAGACACGCCAGAUUUAGGUUCUGGUGGUUUAUGCUGUGGGGGUUCGAGUCCCUCCGUCCGCACCA
rnacentral:tRNA from 1 species